UACGAAGGGGGCUAGCGUUGUUCGGAAUCACUGGGCGUAAAGCGCACGUAGGCGGAUUCUUAAGUCAGGGGUGAAAUCCCGAGGCUCAACCUCGGAACUGCCUUUGAUACUGGGGAUCUCGAGUCCGGGAGAGGUGAGUGGAACUGCGAGUGUAGAGGUGAAAUUCGUAGAUAUUCGCAAGAACACCAGUGGCGAAGGCGGCUCACUGGCCCGGAACUGACGCUGAGGUGCGAAAGCGUGGGGAGCAAACAGG
rnacentral:rRNA from 1 species